UGGGAGUCAAUACAUGUUCCUAGCUGGUAC
rnacentral:piRNA from 1 species